rnacentral:rRNA from 1 species
UUGACCUCGAAUCAGGUAGGAAUACCCGCUGAACUUAAGCAUAUCAAUAAGCGGAGGAAAAGAAACCAACCGGGAUUACCUCAGUAACGGCGAGUGAAGCGGUAACAGCUCAAAUUUGAAAUCUGGCUCCUCUGGAGUCCGAGUUGUAAUUUGUAGAAGAUGCUUUGGGUUGUGGGUUCGGCCUAAGUUCCUUGGAACAGGACGUCAUAGAGGGUGAGAAUCCCGUAUGCGGCCGAGGCCCGCGCCUAUGUAAAGCUCUUUCAACGAGUCGAGUUGUUUGGGAAUGCAGCUCAAAAUGGGUGGUAAAUUUCAUCUAAAGCUAAAUAUGGGCCAGAGACCGAUAGCGCACAAGUAGAGUGAUCGAAAGAUGAAAAGCACUUUGGAAAGAGAGUUAAACAGUACGUGAAAUUGUUGAAAGGGAAGCGCUUGCACCCAGACUUGGGCGCUGCUGAUCACCUUGCGGUCUCCGCGAGUGCACUCGACAGCGCACAGGCCAGCAUCGGUUCGGGUGGCUGGAUAAAGGCCGUAGGAACGUAGCUCCCUUCGGGGAGUGUUAUAGCCUAGGGUGCCAUGCAGCCCAGCCGGACCGAGGACCGCGCCUUCGGGCUAGGAUGCUGGCGUAAUGGGUGUAAGCGACCCGUCUUGAAACACGGACCAAGGAGUCUAACAUCUAUGCGAGUGUUUGGGUGGUAAACCCAUACGCGGAAUGAAAGUGAACGUAGGU